GGACUGCCUUUAGCUUAGCAGUGUCUUCAAAUCAAGCCACUUCACUUGCCAACCACUCUUGCUUGUGAGGGUGACUUGAGAUCCAUGGGUGCCCUCUAGUUCUUUA
ensembl:misc_RNA Vault Vault RNA